rnacentral:rRNA from 1 species
GACGAACGCUGGCGGCGUGCUUAACACAUGCAAGUCGAACGGAAAGGCCCUGCUUUUGUGGGGUGCCCGAGUGGCGAACGGGUGAGUAACACGUGAGUAACCUGCCCUUGACUUUGGGAUAACUUCAGGAAACUGGGGCUAAUACCGGAUAGGAGCUCCUGCUGCAUGGUGGGGGUUGGAAAGUUUCGGCGGUUGGGGAUGGACUCGCGGCUUAUCAGCUUGUUGGUGGGGUAGUGGCUUACCAAGGCUUUGACGGGUAGCCGGCCUGAGAGGGUGACCGGCCACAUUGGGACUGAGAUACGGCCCAGACUCCUACGGGAGGCAGCAGGGGGGAAUAUUGCACAAUGGGCGGAAGCCUGAUGCAGCAACGCCGCGUGCGGGAUGACGGCCUGCGGGUUGUAAACCGCUUUCGGCUGUGACGAAGCGUGAGUGACGGUAAUGGGUAAAGAAGCACCGGCUAACUACGUG